rnacentral:rRNA from 1 species
UUAAAUUAAAAAUUAUUAAAAAAAAUUAUUUUUUUUUUUUAUUAAUAAAAAUAUUUUUUAAUAAAAAUUGUUUUUGUAUAUUUUUAGAAAAAAUUUUUUUAAUUAAAUUAAAUUAGUAUAGUAAUAGAAUUUUGAAAAAUAACAUUUAUCUAUAAAUAUUUUAUAAUUAAGUAAAUUUUAUUUAUUGUACCUUGUGUAUCAGGGUUUUUUAAAAAUAUAAUAUUUAAUAAUAUUUUUCUCGAAUUAAAAGGAUUUAUUUUAUUAUUAUGAUUUUUAUUGUAAUAAAAAUAUUUUUAAUAUUAAAAUAGAAAUGAAAUGUUAUUCGUUUUUUAAGAUAUCUAGUUUUUUAAUAAAUGAAUUUAAUUCAGAUAUUAAUUUUAAAUUUUAAUUUUAUUUUAUAAUAAUAAAUUUAUUAAUAUUAAUAUUUUAAGGGAUAAGCUUUAAAGUAAAAUUUUAAAAUUUUUGUUAUUAAUAUAAAUAAUUAUAUAGACUUAGAAAUAGUUUUUAUUUAAAAAAUGUUAUAAUUUAAUUAUAAAAUAAUUUAAAAUUUAUUAAAUUAAAAUUUAAUAAUUUAUUAAAAUAAAUUAAUUAAUAAAAAAUUAAUUUGAAAUAAUGAUUAAAUUAGUAAAUUUUAAUUGUUUAGAUUAAUUAAUUAAUUAAUUAAUUUAAUUAAAGGAAUUCGGCAAAAUAUAUUCUCACCUGUUUAUCAAAAACAUGUCUUUUUGAAAUUAAUUUAAAGUCUAAUCUGCUCUAUGAUGAUAAAUUAAAUGGCCGCAGUAUUUUGACUGUGCAAAGGUAGCAUAAUAAUUAGUCUUUUAAUUGAGGGCUUGAAUGAAUGAUUGAAUGAAGAAUAAACUGUCUUAAUUAAUUUUUUGAAUUUAAUUUUUAAGUUAAAAAGCUUAGAUUUUUUUAGAGGACGAGAAGACCCUAUAGAAUUUUAUAAUAAAUUUAUUAAUUUAUAUUUAAAUUUUUUAUUUUAUUAAUUUAUUAUUUUAUUGGGGCGAUAAGAAAAUUAAUAAAACUUUUUUAAAAAAUUUUUCAUUGAUUUAUGAAUAAAAGAUCUUAAAUUUUAGAUAAUUAGAUUAAAUUACCUUAGGGAUAACAGCGUAAUUUUUUUUAGAGUUCUUAUUUAUAAAAAAGAUUGCGACCUCGAUGUUGGAUUAAAAUUUAAUUUAGGUGAAGAAGCUUAAAUUUUAGGUCUGUUCGACCUUUAAAAUUUUACAUGAUCUGAGUUCAAACCGGUGUGAGCCAGGUUGGUUUCUAUCCUUAAAUAAAAUAAAAUUUUUAGUACGAAAGGACCAUAAUUUUGAAAUAAUUUUUAAUUAAAAUUGAAUUUUAUUAAUUAAU